rnacentral:rRNA from 1 species
GAUGAACGCUGGCGGCGUGCCUAAUACAUGCAAGUCGAACGAAGAUCUAGCUUGCUAGAUCUUAGUGGCGAACGGGUGAGUAAUACAUAAAUAAUCUGCCCAUAUGACUGGGAUAACUAUUGGAAACGAUAGCUAAUACCGGAUAGGUUGAUCGGAGGCAUCUCUGAUGAAUUAACGUAGGAUUUCUACACAAAUGGAUGAGUUUAUGGCGCAUUAGUUAGUUGGUGGGGUAACGGCCUACCAAGACGAUGAUGCGUAGCCGACCUGAGGGGGUGACCGGCCACACUGGGACGGAGACACGGCCCAGACUCCUACGGGAGGCAGCAGUAGGGAAUUUUCGGCAAUGGGCGCAAGCCUGACCGAGCAACGCCGCGUGAGUGAUUAAGGCCUUCGGGUUGUAAAGCUCUGUUGUAAGGGAAGAACAUUCAGGAUAGGAAAUGAUCUUGAACUGACGGUACCUUACCAGAAAGCCACGGCUAACUACGUGCCAGCCGCCGCGGUAACAC